rnacentral:rRNA from 1 species
UACGUAGGGUGCGAGCGUUGCCCGGAUUUAUUGGGCGUAAAGGGCGCGUAGGCGGCUCUGCACGUUCGUUGUGAAAUCGCCCGGCUCAACUGGGCGGGGUCAGCGGAUACGGCGGAGCUUGAGCAAGCUAGGGGGCAAUGGAAUUCCCGGUGUAGUGGUGGAAUGCGUAGACAUCGGGAGGAACACCAGUGGCGAAGGCGGUUGCCUGGGGCUUUGCUGACGCUGAUGCGCGAAAGCGUGGGGAGCGAUCCGG